rnacentral:lncRNA from 1 species
UUUCAAGUCUCCGCUUUUGGUGAAAACUCAGGGCUCCUCAAAGAGGACGCACUGUAUGUUUUCCUUCUUUUCUUUUCAUGUAACCGAAACACUUCCUCGGUGUUAAUGAAUCCCUCUGUGCUGUCAAACCCUUGCGAUGUCUAGCACCCUGACCAUUACCACUACCACUCAUGCCAUCCCUCCAGUGCAGGCAUUGUUAUCUAGGCAUUACAAAUAAGGAGAGUGAUAGCCCCUUUAGGUAGCAUCCCCAGUGUCACUCAGCAUGGCAAUGGUAAGGCUAGACAACAGACCCAGGUAAUAGGCUUCCAAAGCCUUUCUCCUGCUCCAUUAGCUGCUUCCCACCAAGACUGACAUAAAGUACAGAAUAUCCUGUUCCUCUCAUUAUCUGUAAAAUCUGGGGUUUUAUUAUUCUGAGGUUGGCCUCAAUUCAAAGGAACUGAAAUCAGUCUUGUCAGAGUCAGUGAUCUCAACUGGAAGAGGCCAGAGGGAUUGCUCAUAAUGAAGACGUUUUCCUCAAAGGUCUAUGCCAUAUUGGUCCAGUGGUCGCAAUUCUCACUGUGGCCUUUGAUGACCCGCCCUUGAUUCAAGGCAUUUUCAGUAGUUCCGUACACACAGCCACUGUCUAUAAUGCCCAUGGCAUGACAGUUGCAGUUUCUAUGCUAAAUACCUAUGUUUUCCCUGAAUGAAACUCAGCAAGAAAGAAAGGGAGGCUUUUAUUUAUAUUCUUUGCACAGCAGGUCUAUAUAUACACAUCAUAAUAUGCAGGCACCUCAUCUUCACAAUCUGUGAUUUCAAAUUCUUUUUUUUAAUUAUUUUUCUUCUGUAUAGCAUGGGGACCAAGUUACGCUUACAUGUAUACAUUUUUUCCCACCCUUUGUUCUGUUGCAACAUAGGUAUCUAGACAUAGUUCUCAAUGCUACUCAACAGGAUCUCCUUGUAAAUCCAUUCCAAGUUGUAUCUGAUAACCCCAAGCUCCCAAUCCCUCCCACUCCCUCCCUGUCCCCCUGGGGAGCCACAAGUCUAUUCUCCAAGUCCAUGAUUUUCUUUUUUGUGGGAAUGUUCUUUUGUGCUGUAUAUUAGAUUCCAGUUAUAGGUGCUAUCAUAUGGUAUUUGUCUUUGUCUUUCUGACUUAUUUCACUCAGUAUGAGAGUCUCUAAUUCCGUCCAUGUUGCUGUAAAUGGCAUUAUGUCAUUCUUUUUUUUUUUUUAAUUGGGUCCAUGUCUUCUUGAGCAUGGCUUCAAAGGAGAAUAUAAUGUUAAUAGGCCAAGUGGUUAAUUCUCUCAUUCACUCUUAAAAUCAUUCUAUAUAUGUGUGCUGAGCUCUAAUAGUGUGUCAGGAACUAUAUCCAGCCUAGGACACAGCACAAAGGCAAUUGUCUCUGGGCCUCCUUGUCCUCUAACUGGUAAAUUAUGAGGCAUUUCAUAAGAAUUUUCCACUAUUUGUCAAGACACCAGAGUUUACUGAUGACUUUCCUACUUUAAAAGGUAAAGUUAAUUGAAGGUUUUCCUUUUAAUAGUGUAAUUUUCACACCCAUGAUUCUAAUACACUGCCUUUAAUGUUGAAGCAAUUGUGUUAUCUGAGAUGGGAAAAGAAAUAGCUUGCAAUAUCAAAUACUCCCUUGAAAGUAUGUUACAUAAAUGAACUUUGUGGUUAAAACAGAAAAAUAUUAAAGUUGAAAACACUGGCAUUGGGAACAAACAUGUAUAUGGAUAACAAUGCAACCACAGCUAUCUGUUCUACAAAGCACUAUGGGAGCACAAAGUAGAUUGGGCAAAGUUUACUAUAGAAGGUAGAAUUAGAAGCAAUUCAUGAAAAAGGAAUCAGAAUGGCAAACCCUGCCAGUUCAGUAGACUACAGAGAAAUGGACUGGUGCUAUGGGUAUAAGCAAUGGUUUUGUCUGAAUGGAACACAAAGUUUGUGAGUAAAGCACUGGAAUAAGCUAAGUUGGGAGAGGCAUCUGAGGGCAUUAAAAACAUAUUAAGCAUAUUUGGAUGGUGUAGUGUAGCCACUGGCAAGCCCACAAACAACCAUAGAAAAGCUCAAGAUAUUUCCAAAAUACUUGUUUUUCAAUCUGAUUAUAAGCUAGGUCAUCUGGGGCAGAACUAUCUGUGUUCUCUGACAGUCAGCUCUCAAGUCUGGGCAAUGUAAGUCCCAGACCUUAGAGUGGCCCUGCUUCUGGGGACAGGUGCAUCUAACUCAUCACCAUGUUCAUCAUUUACUGCCUGAAGUAUAGAUUCCAGGGCCUUCAAUCCUCCACAACACCAUCAACUCAAACCAUUCUAAAUGUUUUGCCCUACCAAAGCCUUUGAUGCUUUCUCCAACUCUCAUGUACUCUUCCAUGGCCUUGAGCUUUAGCUCCUUCAUUAGAAAAUUCUCAUAGCUUCUUAAUUCCUUCCCUGAGUGUAUUUGCAUUGAGUGAAAUAGGGCUUUUACUCUGUUGCCUUCCAAAGCUGCUCAUCUUACAUAUCUUAGAGGAAGCCUGGAUAUUUCGUCAUGGCCCAGGUUUCUAAAGGACAUGGGAGAAGGUGCUAGAUUUUUCAUCAGUUUGGAUUUAGCCCAGGUGAGAAAAUCAGGGAAGCCAGUGGGGAAUAAUCUGUUUAGGAAGGCCUGUGCAGACAGAGAGGCUCUAGAAAUUAAGAAAUGAGAUAUCCUAUAAUAGUAAUAAUAGAAAAUAGACAUGAACUCUGGUCACUAGUCACUUAUGCUUUUCUUUCCCAGGAUCCCAAGACUUCUACAUAAAGUUAAUACUUAAGAAGGUUUGUACUGAGGGACAAAGAGCAGCAUAAACUAUUAACUAUAAUACACUAUCAAAUCUGCUAAAUGAAGUAUAAAUAGAAGUUACAUGAACACGGGAAAAAAAAUACUUGCAAAACCCAUGGUUUGCUUCCAAAGCAGUUCGGUUUGCACAGUGAGCCCUCAUAGUAUUGGAUUUUGCAUAGUAGCUAUAUGGAACUCCCGCCCGUUCCCCAGUGUGUCAACAUUUGUGUUAUAUUUUUCUAUUUUGUCUGAAAUGUCCUAACCCAUCCAAUAUUUUUACUUACUUGGCUAGCCCCUACUCACUUUGUAGAUUGCAGUUAAGAUGUUACCUCUUCCUGACAGUCUGACAUGAUUCACCAAGUGGAGAUUAGGUGCCUCUCCUAUGCGGUCACAUACAAUUUGUACUUACCCCCAUUUUAAUACAUAUCAUGCUAUAUAUCAUCAUUACCAACACCUGGAAUAGCAUGUGGCAUCAUCAGUGCUCAUAAAUAUUUGUUGAAUGACUCAGUUGAACAAACAAAUGAUUGAAUGGAUGAAUGGGUAAAUCAGUAAAUUGAUGGGAAUAUAAGUAUUUGUUUCUGACUUUGGAGUGUGAGUCAUACCGUAGAGAAAGUUGUUGUGUGUGAAGGGAAUGAAAUCAGGAGAACUCAGUCUCUGAUCAAGAGAAAUAUAUUAAAACCAUGCUCUUCUUGCAUUCAUUCACAUAUUUAUUAAAUGCCUAGUUGUUAUGUCAAAAGUGAUCCAAUAGUUUUUAAGAUACAUUCAAACAUUUAUUGGAUACCUAUGACAAAAUAUCCUUGUUUCUUUGAUCCAAUAAUGUAAUUGUUUUUCAUAUAUUUUAGAAGCUAACAAUGAUCUAAACCCUUAAACAAAACUACUGGCUGUAGACAUAGGACAUAUAUUUAAAAGCUUUAAAAUUAUUUUUUUCCUUUUCUUUCAAAAGAAUUUUAAAACAAGGAGAUAAUUGUCAAACUAGGUUUACUUUAUGUGACCCUGUAUAUGCACAUACAAAAUAAGUGAUUACACAUGAAUAGGGAAAUUAGCCACUGUGCUGGCUAGCGUGUGUUUGGUAGGGUGAUGAUCAGCUUUCAGAUCAGUCACAGGAUUAAGGUAAAGCUCUGCCAAUACACAGGCUGUUCUGUAAGCUCCAUCAUACACUGAGAACUACAAGAUUUGAAACAUUCCGUUUUAGUCAAGAAAUUCAGCAUCUUGAUGGGACCACCAAUGUUACAUUGCGAAGGUAUGCAGACCCAAGGAAGAAUUGGUGCUUUUUAUAAGGUAAUCUACCACACCAUCAAAGUCAAGUUUCUGAGAAUGUGUUAACUUCUGGAGAGAAGACAAGGCUAGAGAGUAAAUGUCAAUUGAUGUAGAAAAGAAUCUUUCCAAAGGUUGAGCCCUGAUGCUGUCCAAAAAUUAAAAAAUCAAUGAGAUAAGAAAAAAAUAAUUAGAUGAAUUAGAUAACUAAUUAGACGCUUCUAUCAAUGAGGUAGGAGACCAAGAGAAAGUUGUGUCCAAGAAGUUAAAUUUGCAUGAAAUACACCAAAAAUGACUAUGCAUUUGUUGUUUAUAGCACAGAUAAUUGCUCUUCUGACAGCUGAGUAUCUUUGAAGUUUCUGACCAGUUUGUAAUGGUGCUGUUUUCUCUCUAGCUCUAGGCUAAGAGAAGGGCUGUAGUUUAUAUGAAAACCAAAAUUCGUUGUAUAUUAAGCACAUUAAAAGAUCUGAACUCCCAUUAAUAGCUGGGAAAACUAGGCCAGCAAUUGUCUGCAAUGCUCAUGGGAGCUAUGAAUUUGAAUUUUUAUUGAAAUGAUAAGGCCAUGUGUUUUAAACACUGGUAAAAUUCAGUGGUGAGGGCAAUUGAAAGACAUUCAUUUUAUAACCAUGUAUAAACACAUAAUAUUUAUUAAACAUCUUUAUGUACUUAAAAUUAUUCUAGAUCCUCACAAUUAUGCAAAAUUGAAGGAAGCACUUGAUCUUGUUUUUCUAAAGGAUUUCCAUUUAAAUAAGACAACAUAGAUGAGAUAAUACAAUUUAUAAAAUGCUAAUGGUUAAGGGGAGAGUGAUCAUCUUCACACAAAGACAUAUGUAUGUAAAGCAUAGAAAGAUACACUUAGCAAAAGAGUUUAAGAGAGAAGGCGUAGAAAAAAAGUUAUCAGGGGGCCAGAGCAAAAUCCUUAUCAAUUUGUAUAAUCUGUAAACAAAUCUCUUAUUCUAGUAAAAACUUCAGCUGCUCCCUAUGGUUUUUACAAUGGCCAUUCUAUGUACCUUCAUAUCAAGUUACUUAGUCCUCCUAGUAAGCAAUGAGGAAGGAGACGUUUUUCGUAUGGACACCACAUCCAAGCCACCCACUUGUUUUCACUGCACUCUUCCAGCACUGCCCCACAAACACCUGCCUCUGUGACUCUCGGCUUUCCUACCUUUCAGAUUAUCCCUAAAGCCUUAGCCACUCAGCCAUCAUGCAGGAAACCCUUCAGCUUUCCUCCCUUUAGUGGGAUCAUUUUGGAGACGCAUUCUGUGUGGUUCUUUGGACUGUCUCAAGGGUGUCUGAGCUUAGUGUUCACCAGAGAGACUAGUUCAGAGAUGCCACAUCCCUUGCCUUUCCCCCCUACAGUUUCACUAUCCUGUCUUCCUCACUCUCCUUUCUGCAGUCACUUCCCCGUUAAACCAUCUGCACACAAAGUCCAUGUCUCAGUCAUUGUUCAUGAAGAAUCUAAACUAAGACAGGAGCAAAUUGUCUCACACUCUAACAGAUAGAAAAAUGAGAUUAUAAAAAUUUAAGAAAAUGAUCAAAAUCAUCUACAGAAGUGAUUAGGACCCAGAACCAAAUAUAUCAAAAUCAAAGUUUUCAUUUUUAAUUAUUAUAAAUAUGUAUAGACUCGGCCAUGAAACUUUGGAUUCUAAAUUAUAAUUUGUAUGCAUAAAAGAAGGAAAGAAAUAUUUUCUUGGUAAGAAUUUAAGAGCUAGAACACUGAAUAUUCUGGUUCCCAUCAUGGUGCAGCAGAAACAAAUCUGACUAGGAACCAUGAGGUUGUGGGUUCGAUCCCUGGCCUUGCUCAGUUGGUUAAGGAUCCGGCGUUGCUGUGAGCUGUGGUGUAGGUCACAGACAGACACGCCUGGGAUCCUAUGUUGCUGUGGCCGUGGUGUUGGCUGGCAGCUAUAGCUCCAAUUAGAUCCCUAGCCUGGGAACCUCCAUAUGCCAUGAGUGUGGCC